UCCCUGGAGGACUAAUGGUUAGGCCUCGGCACUCCCACCACCACGGCCCGGGUUUGAUUCCUGGCCAGGGAA
rnacentral:tRNA from 1 species